UUGGGCGCUCAAAAUAUUUCAUAACACACUCUCACUGAAGUAAGCCAACAGUAAAGUAAUGGAGUCGCCGAGGCAUUCGUGCUUGAAGCUGGAGCUCCCAAAUCCUACCGAGCCCGACAAGAUCGAGCCGAUUUUCAUCAAGGCCACAUGGUACGACACCCACUUCGACCUCUCCAUCACGAACGACCCCGACUCUUGGGUCUGCAAAGGUCAAAUUUCAUCCUACUCGCCUGUUCGAUUGAAUCUCCUCAUGAAUCUUGAAAAUUUUUGUCUCCAAGUUUCAACCCUUCGCGGUUUCGCGUCUGGGUUUUACAGCGUCGGAGGAAGAAGUGAGGGAACGAGCGGCUCAGUGGGACCAGCCAGUGGCAGAUUACAUUGAAUUUGCAGAGAAGAUUGUCAUGGACCUUUGAGAAGGUAGGGACAAAGCUGGAAUGGCAAUGCAAAUGCCAACCUUCACCCAAUCCUCAACUGACCAAAUCAGGAAUCUUGGACUUUCUUGUGGAUGCAAACAUAAGGCUCAGUGUAAGCCUCCUAAGAUUAUAAUUGGUUAAUCAUUAUUAGUAUGAUCUUUUAUAUGGCUGCUUGGAGAAGGAAUAAAUCGUUAGUUUCACCUAAACUAUCUCCUCUGGUUUGAAGUAUCAUUUGAUUCACUGGGAUCAAAGAUAAAAUGACUAAAAGGUAAAACUAUUGAUUACCUUAACUGGUUCACACUACAAUGAAACUCUUGAGUUCUUAUUUGAUUGUCAUCUGUUAACGGUAAGAAGUUGUCAGAAAAACUAAAUCGUCUGAGAGGUUGAAAGGGGAAGCUGAGAAAUGCCUGGCAACAGAGUGAAAAUUUCAGCAAUGAGAAGACAGAGUUUGAGUCUGCAAUCUAUGCAAAGGUCUUCUCUUUUUUCCGCUUUUAACGUAGGAAUAAGUAAUUUAUCCAAGCAAAGGUGCGUUUUGUUUUUGUGAUAGAUAUAGUUUCUGAUAAUUACGCACCUCUUAGAGGUAAGUUAGAGCCUCCAGAGUAAUCUUUAUCUUUUAGUAUUAAAACUAUGUGCUUGUUGCAGUUUUUCACUCUAAUAACCACGUAAUGAUUCAGCAUGAAAGUUAGUUAUAUGUGAAAGGACAAGUGGUUUCCAUAAUUCUGCAACUUGUUUAAGAGUAACUGUCUACAGAAUUACGUUUAGCGUAUGACUAUAACUCAUGUUGUCUACUCUGCUAUUUAUAUAUUGAGUUUAACUUGUCUUUUGUGGAGUGUUUGAUGUAUGCAUAGGGUGAAAAAAUGAAAUCAGCAAAGAUGUAUACUUGGUUUGGUUGGUAACCUUUUCUUUUCUUUCUUCUUUAUUUUUUUUUUAUUUUUUUAUUUUUUGGUCUCUUGGUGCUCAAUUAGUAUACUCGGUCUUGUGCAGCCCCUGCAGUUUUGCCUUUUCCUUAUCUAGAAUAAUGAAGUUUUAUCAUUUAUGAACAAGAUGGAUUGAUUACGUCUUCUCUGAGUAAAGUAGAACAGGGAAAAGGAAGAAAGAAAAAGAAGAAGAAACUAAGAUAAGAGAAAGGGCUUGAAAAUUCUGUUUGUUUGGUUAACCAAGCCAAAUCAAAUUGAUAAUGUUGGGUUUUCUUGUCCAAUCUGGUCCGGUUUAUGUUAUAAUUCACUGAUAAUGCACAACCGAACAAACUUUUUUGUUUGCCACUUGAAUAUAAUGAGCAACCUUUAGGAUUGCAUCUCAAUCAUGACCCUGACUGUGGGCUUGUUCUUAGAUGUAGUUCCUUAGUGUCUUAAAUUCAAAGAAAGGGAAACUCAGGGAGCAACUUGUCAAGUCAGCUGGUAAUGGUGGGAAAUCACCAGAAGAAGACGAGGAAUCCACAGAAAAGACAGACCCUUUUGAUGAGAGAAGUGACACUGAGGUAGGGACCAUAAAGAGCGGUACCGGGAUGUCAAAAGAUGUCCAGAAAGAUAUCUCUCUGAAACAUUGCCUGGCAUCCAUUACCAAUAGCAAUGAAAUUUUUGGAUUAUGGAGGAACUGAUGAUAUGAUCGUCCCGAGAUCGCAAAAUUUUACUACUAAGGUCUAAGGAUAUCAGCCACCACCCAAGGGAAAGAUGGGUGUUGGAGCUACACCAGUUGAAGUGCAUCAGAGCUGUUGCUAGUCUUGCUGUGUCGUUUUGUUUUUUUAUCAGUCAUGUAGUUAUCUGUUUUCUUAGGUUGCUGUUUUUAAGGAAUCAGUUAGCAUAUUUUUAGGAGUUUGUUUUUUGCACGUUAAGUGCAGUUCUGGUCCUGUUCUGUUCAGGUUUUCUACUGGUGUCUAUUGGUAUUGGUAACUGAAGUUUUUCCAAUUCAUAAAGAAGUAGACAGUUUCUCUUAUCUCUAAAAAAAUCUACAUUCUCUCAUUCUCUUUAAAUUGAGUUCUACUGGUCUACUGUGAGGAUGGAAUUAAGAGACUUAAAUGUGGUAUCAGAGCACCAUUGAUCUUAAGGGACCUGUGGGGGUGAGAGACUUGUGAGGUUGACCGAGUGUUUUGACUGCAUCCAUAGAAGAUCAAGGCAAGAUGGAGGCAUGUUCGAGUGGAUUCUCUGCCAUGGCACCACCUGUGUUCGAUGGGGAGAGUUAUCAAGCAUGGGCUGUGAAGAUGACAACUUUUAUGGAAGGUUGUGAUUUGUGGGAAGCAGUGGAAGAAGACUACGAGGUGGCUCCCCUUCCUAACAAUCCAACCAUGGCUCAGAUCAAGCUGCACAAGGAGAAGAAGACCAGGAAGGCAAAGGCAAAAUCUUGUCUUUAUGCUGCUGUGUCACCCACCAUCUUCACCAGAAUCAUGAGGCUUGACUCAACAAAAGCUAUGUGGGAUUACUCGAAGGAAGAAUAUGAAGGAGAUGAGAAGAUUCGAGGUAUGAAAGUGUUAAAUUUGUUGAAGAAUUUGAAAGACUUCAGAUGGAAGAGAGAGAGACUGUGAAGGAGUAUGUUGAUAGGCUUGUAGAGAUUGCUAACAAGAUUAGAGUGUUAGGAACUGAUAUCAAGGAUGAUAGGCUGGUGCAAAAGAUUAUGGUUUUGUACCAAAAAGGUUCAAGGCAACUAUUGCUUCACUGGAGAACAAUAAGAAACUUUCAGACAUCAAACUUGCUGAAGUACUUAGUGCUUUGCAAGCUCAAGAGUAGAGAAGUACUAUGAGAACAAAAGGGAUUGCUGAACAAGGAAUGGUUGAAAGAGCUUUGCAAGCCAAAAUGCAGCAAAGUUCUAGUGGAAAAGGAAAGAAGUUGAAAGAAUAUGGUAGUGCUUAUGAGAUUGUUGCAAUAGAAAGAUCGAACAAUAACAAAAGGGGAAAUCAUCCUCCUUCUCAGCAUUGUGGAAAGAGAAAUCAUCCAAACUAUAAGUGUUGGAGGAAGUUUGACAUGAGAUGCAGGAAGUGUCAAAAGUUGGGGCAUGCUGAGAUCGUCUGCAAGGAGGAGACUCCGUAGCAAGGUGAAGCACAAACUGCAGUUGAAGAAGAGGUAGAACAACUCUUUGUUGCUUCUUGUUUUAGCUCACGUGUUUCAGAUGGUUGUUGGCUUGUUGAUAGUGGGUAUACUAACCACAUGACAAGUGAUGAGAAGCUCUUUAGGGAGCUUGAUAGAUCAGUAACAGCAAGAGUAAGAAUUGGGAAUAGAGAGUACUUGACAGUGAAGGAUAAAAGAACUGUCCAAAUAGAGAGUUGUGUUGAUACAAAACUGAUAUAUGAGGUUUUGUAUGUUCCUAAAAUUGCCCAAAGUUUGUUGAGUGUUGGUCAGCUUGUAGAGAAAGGAUACAAGGUGAUGUUUGAGGAGAAGAAGUGUUUGAUUUCGAUUCAAUCAGUCAUAAGUUACUUGAAAUUCCAAUGAAGAAUAAGUUUUUUUUCUUUGGAUCCAUUGAAGAUGAAGUCUAAUGUGGAUGAUGAUCAAUCUGUUAAAGGGAGAAGGUCAAAUGUCAGAGUUGCAAAGUUGUUGUUUGAGAAUCUGUCGGAUGUGAAGAAGCCAAAGCCGAUCUAAGAAGGAUAGAUAGAAUGAAGGAGGAGUUGGCUAUUAUAGAGUCCAAGACAAAACUCGUUCUUGAUGGCUCUGUGAACAAACAGGAGGAGAAGGUCUAUGGACUGAAGGAGACUCCUAGAGCAUGCAAUGGUGUUCAGAUUGUGGAAGAAGAAAGCACUGAUGUGUUCGUCUACAAUCAAGCAAAGUGGAUAAAUGAUGCCGGUGCAUUGCAGAAUAGAAGACCAGUUUGCAAGUAUCUUCACCAAGUCCUUUCAGAUUGGAAUGUUUGAGCUGUUAAGGGAGAAGAUUGAAGUGUGCAACAGCAACUGAUCCAAGGAGGAGUGUUGGAGCUACAAUAGUUGAAGUGCAUCAGAGCUGCUGCUAGUCUUGCUAUGUCGUUUUGUUUUUUUAUCAAUCAUGUAGUUAUCUGUUUUCUUAGGUUGCUGUUUUUAAGGAAUCAGUUAGCAUAUUUUUAGGAGUUUGCUUUUUGCACGUUAAGUGCAGUUCUGGUCUUGUUCUGUUCAUGUUUUCUACUGGUGUCUAUUGGUGUUGGUAACUGAAGUUUUUCCAAUUCAUGAAGAAGUAGACAGUUUCUCUUCUCUCUAAAAAA